CGAUUUUUAAAAAAAUGUGUAGGUUCAUUCUGCAUCAAAUGUAACAAAUGUCAAGGCUUCAGUAGAUAGUAAUAUGACGAUGUACUUGAACAAUAAGCCUGGAUUGUUUUCGAUCAAAUCAAGAAAUUGGACUUCUCUAGCCGAAUUAUGGAAUUCAAAAAUACGAAAAUAUGGCAACCUCGCAUAUGUACUCAGAUUAAGGUAGAUUCUAAAUUACGCAGACAAUGUAAAACUUUUAGUUUUUCCAUGAUUUUUGGUGAUAAUCUCACCUCAAAAUCUACAUUUCCCCAUGAGGGAUCAUCGUUAUGGGAUCCGAAACUAGGCAGCACCGUUUCAAAGGGCGCAAAUCUUUAACGGAGGGUUUAUAACUUUCUAGAACGCCUAAAACACACGCGUAACACGUAUACGUUAAUGGUACACGUCAAGGACCUAAAUGCAAAAAAUUUAAAGGUAUUAUUACUAGCGAUGGGUUCCGGUGGUCACACAUUGACCUCUGGCACCACACUGCCCCACUACCUAACGAUUUUGCGGUUUCGCUUUUUCAAUCGAGAGACCUUCCCUGAGAUUUUGAUUUAAAAAAAACAAACAAAGAACACAAAAAACAAAAAAACAGAAAAAAAAUCGAGCUGUCAUCAGAGACAUUAACACGAACCGUGUAUGAAGUUAAUGCUAUACCCGUACACUGCUGUUCAAGUUUCAAAAUGUGAGCUAAAUCCAAGAAAAAGAAUGAAGCAAUCACCAAAAUAAAAAAAACAAACGUACUAACCUGUAAUUAGUAAGAACAUGAAGGAAACUAGAAGAUUUUUAAGUUUCAUGAGUCUUUCGUCUCCUCGAGAAUGGAAUUUUUAAAUAGUGUCCACAGUAAUUAAAUCCAUAUUAUAGAUUGUGCAAUAAAAUACAACAAGAAAAUAUUGAAAUCCUUCGCGUCCUAGUUUCUACUCUAACUGAAAACUUUAUUUUCCCGUCAGUUUCCAUCGAAUGACACGCAUGACCAUAACCUUCAUGAGAUCAUAAUAUUUUAGUACAUGAGUGCAACAUUGUUUUAUUUUACAAUACAAAACAUAACAAUGUCCAAAUUACUUAUCCUGUAGUAAGACUCAGUGACGUUAGUCGACCGAGAUUCUCCGUUCCGACCACUGAAAUUAAUGUACUGAGAAAUAGAGGUCAUCAGUCUCGGUCCAAAAUAACAAGAACCGUAAAUAUUGGUCGCGUCACCCUCUGGAAAAGGAAAAAUUAAAACAUCAUCGCAACUAAUAGGAGUCUCAAUUUGAAGACAGUUGAAGAAUUUGAGUGCGUUUUAAAUGAAAUUAAGACAAAACAUCCGUUUGUUGGCUACCGGCACAACUGGGGCAACUUGAAGGCUCGAGGCAUAUACAUUACCUGAAAGCGACGGAUUUUGCUGGUACAGGAAGUAGAUCCAGUGGGAGUGUUGAAGAGGCGCCGCAGACGGUUAAAAAGAAGACAGUAUACAGUGAAGGCUUCAAAUUACAUUUGACUGAACUAUUCCAAGAUGUUGUAUUUCCGCCAACCAGAGUAACAUGGAAACCAACCUUUACCGUAGCCAAGUGGUUUAGUGGGAGAGCCAAGCUCUGUCCAAGGAUCAGCUUGAAACCAAGUGCAAAUACUUUUUAUUUGCAAAAGUUCACCGGGAGAAGUUUUAGAGCGGAUUGAAACCAUGAUGGUCUUAUUUACAUUUCGUGACACUUGGGAUCCAGUGAAUAAGCUUUUCAACUUCGGAGGCGUAUAACUCUUUUAUUGCGAGUCUCUAUUUUUGCUUAUGAGUGGAACUAUUCCAGCAGUGAGAACAACCCGCAACAACAAACCUCAAAAAAUUUCUUUAUAUGAUACCGAUGCAUGUAUGCAGGACACGUUUGCCAAAACAGUGCCAAAAACAAA